GACAACUAGCUAGAGGACCAGAAGACCAACCCAAUUCCUCAGCAUCGCCCCAGAUUUCUCUUUGGUUGCAGAGUCCAUCCAUUCCAGAUAGGCAAUCUCUUCACUCGAUUUGGAGCUUUCUUCCAAAGUCCUGAUAAGGAACCUGAUGAGGUUUGGGGAGAGAUUUAAGGAAAGAAAGAUAUGAGCCUACAAGGAUUGCUACUGCUUUUGCAACAUUUCACACAUCAUGUGAGAUACCCACCAAGUGUACUCACAGCACGCACCAAUGUGACAAAAAUGGAAAUCUUAAACUACAACGGAACUCAAUUUAACGAGGUGAACAAGAGAUAUUACAGCAGGCUUCCUGCAGCCAGUCUUGGAGGAAGCGGGCUUCUAAAUGGGGCCUUUCUCUCUCUUGGGUCCAAAGCUUUCCAGGUUUACCAAAGUGCCAGUGCCGAGGAUGCUGGCUAAUGGAGGACUUUUACCAGCGGGUCUACUCAGAUUGUAUGUGUUGUCAACAUAUCAAAGAUCAUGAGAUGUAAUGAGAUAAUAUUCACAGCAAGUAAAAUAACCCCCAAAAUAACCAUGGUAUUAACUUUAUAGCAUUUUGAAGUUAGUUACAAAGUGCUUUCCAUAAAUUACUUCAUAAUGUAGUACUAUCACAUGACUCACUGAAAUCAAUCAGUAAGCAUUUAUUAAGUACCUUCUAUAUACCAGGCGCUACAGGUAGAGAAUACAAGACUCCAUUGCACAUGGUGUUUUUCAUUGUUAGAAAAAAAAAAAAAAGGAUUUGUUUUGGCAGAGUAAAAUGCUGCCUCAUAGCAACUCUUCCCAUAAAGUGCCUCCCAUGACUACAUCAAAAUCAUUAAAGUCUCUCAUAAGACAUAACAAUGGAGAUGAUCUUGUUUGAAGACUUUAUGAUUAAGCUCAGUACUAGAAUAAUACAAGGACUAACUGUGUGACCCUAGGCAAGUCACUUAACCCCAAUUGCUUCACAAAAAAAGAAAAAAAGAAUAAUAUAAGGAGACUUAUGUUUGCCAAAGGUGCUCAUUGCUUACACGGAGAUCCAGCAGAGUCUAAAUGGAAGUUGUUGUUCAGUCAUUUUUUCAGUUGUAUCUGAUUCUUCAUGACCCCAUUUGGGG